rnacentral:rRNA from 1 species
UACAGAGGGGGCAAGCGUUAUUCGGAAUUAUUGGGCGUAAAGGGCGCGUAGGCGGCUUUGCAAGUGGCGGGUGAAAUCCCUCGGCUUAACCGAGGAACUGCCUGCCAGACUGUGAGGCUUGAGACCGGGAGAGGUGAGUGGAAUUCCCAGUGUAGCGGUGAAAUGCGUAGAUAUUGGGAGGAACACCAGUGGCGAAGGCGGCUCACUGGACCGGAACUGACGCUGAGGCGCGAAAGCUAGGGGAGCAAACGGGG